ensembl:lncRNA novel transcript
AGUCCCGGGGUCCUAAUAGUCGGGACUAUUAGGUCAUCCUGGGUACUCAGGCCUCUAGACUCUAGACUGAGCUGCCUUGGUCACUCGGGGACAGUUGGCAGAGUAUUCGUGGUCAGGGAGGUGACCCGUGGUCAGCAGGAUCAGGCCACCCAGGGACAAAGGGUGCUUCUGCGCCAGGCCCUGGAGAAGGACAGAGCGGUGGGGACUCGGGGUCGGCCGCAGAUAGGGGAGUCACCACCUGCCGGUGACCAGAGACAGACACGUAACAUAGAAAACGCUAUCACUUUGAUCAUUUGUUUCAAAUGGAAGAAAAACCGACACAACAAUCAGCCAUGACUGCCUUUGCACUGUCCAUGCUCUCAGCCCACCACCUCCUCCCCCUGCCAUUGCAGUGGCUAACACUGGAGACGAAGACCAAGACACCACCGCCUUUCUCCAGUACCACUCAAAUCAGCACAGGCAAGGACAAAGGCCUCAAUCCACAACUGCUGAAGAUGGACCCUGGCCACAUGGGAUGGUCAGACACGCCUGCCCAGCUAUCUGCAGGCGAAGAGGCUCAGAAGAGGUUUAGGGGCCUGAAGGACAUCUUGCUUCCAUGUCCAUAUGAGCAGGCUAUUUCUGCUCCAUGAGUCAAUUUUGCCAUAUAAAAUACUUAAUUUCAGCCAUUCCAGGGUGCUGUAGGAUGCACAGCUUCCCAUCAGCCCACCUGAACUCCAGCCAUGCCAUUUUAAUACCAGGAAUAAGGUCACCUGCUUUCCUGCCCCUUAGGAGGCCAGAGCCGUGGAAGCAAAAUGGCACUUCUGUUUACCUGUUAUAUUAUUUUUUUGUCAUCCUUAUAUGCUUGGAAAAUGCAAUUAUAUGAAAAAAGUUUAGUAAUUACAGACAUAACAGCAGAAAG